rnacentral:rRNA from 1 species
GAUGAACGCUGACAGAAUGCUUAACACAUGCAAGUCAACUUGAAUUUGGGUUUUUAACUUAGGUUUGGGUGGCGGACGGGUGAGUAACGCGUAAAGAACUUGCCUCACAGUUAGGGACAACAUUUGGAAACGAAUGCCAAUACCUGAUAUUAUGAUAAUAGGGCAUCCCAUAAUUAUGAAAGCUAUAAGCGCUGUGAGAGAGCUUUGCGUCCCAUUAGCUAGUUGGAGAGGUAACGGCUCACCAAGGCGAUGAUGGGUAGCCGGCCUGAGAGGGUGAUCGGCCACAAGGGGACUGAGACACGGCCCUUACUCCUACGGGAGGCAGCAGUGGGGAAUAUUGGACAAUGGACCAAGAGUCUGAUCCAGCAAUUCUGUGUGCACGAUGAAGUUUUUCGGAAUGUAAAGUGCUUUCAGUUGGGAAGAAAUAAAUGACGGUACCAACAGAAGAAGUGACGGCUAAAUACGUGCCAGCAGCCGCGGUAAUACGUAUGUCACGAGCGUUAUCCGGAUUUAUUGGGCGUAAAGCGCGUCUAGGUGGUUAUAUAAGUCUGAUGUGAAAAUGCAGGGCUCAACUCUGUAUUGCGUUGGAAACUGUGUAACUAGAGUACUGGAGAGGUAAGCGGAACUACAAGUGUAGAGGUGAAAUUCGUAGAUAUUUGUAGGAAUGCCGAUGGGGAAGCCAGCUUACUGGACAGAUACUGACGCUGAAGCGCGAAAGCGUGGGUAGCAAACAGG